rnacentral:rRNA from 1 species
UACGAAGGGGGCUAGCGUUGUUCGGAUUUACUGGGCGUAAAGCGCACGUAGGCGGAUCGUUAAGUCGGGGGUGAAAUCCUGGAGCUCAACUCCAGAACUGCCUUCGAUACUGGAGAGCUCGAGUCCGGGAGAGGUGAGUGGAACUGCGAGUGUAGAGGUGAAAUUCGUAGAUAUUCGCAAGAACACCAGUGGCGAAGGCGGCUCACUGGCCCGGUACUGACGCUGAGGUGCGAAAGCGUGGGGAGCAAACAGG